rnacentral:rRNA from 1 species
GAUGAACGCUGGCGGCGUGCCUAAUACAUGCAAGUAGAACGCUGAAGGAAGGAGCUUGCUCUUUCCGGAUGAGUUGCGAACGGGUGAGUAACGCGUAGGUAACCUGCCUGGUAGCGGGGGAUAACUAUUGGAAACGAUAGCUAAUACCGCAUAACAGUAGAUGUUGCAUGAUAUCUACUUAAAAGGUGCAAUUGCACCACUACCAGAUGGACCUGCGUUGUAUUAGCUAGUUGGUGAGGUAACGGCUCACCAAGGCGACGAUACAUAGCCGACCUGAGAGGGUGAUCGGCCACACUGGGACUGAGACACGGCCCAGACUCCUACGGGAGGCAGCAGUAGGGAAUCUUCGGCAAUGGACGGAAGUCUGACCGAGCAACGCGGCGUGAGUGAAGAAGGUUUUCGGAUCGUAAAGCUCUGUUGUAAGAGAAGAACGAGUGUGAGAGUGGAAAGUUCACACUGUGACGGUAUCUUACCAGAAAGGGACGGCUAACUACGUG